ensembl:lncRNA
ACGUGGCCACACCUGCUAGGUGUCUGCUGGAAAGUGCACCAGGUGGAUGGAGGGGAAGGGCAAAGGCCUUGAGAAGUGUUGAGAUUUGAAUCCAAGCUGCUUUUCCAAGGGUUUGUCACUGAAGAAGGAGCUGAGAGAGGAUGUGCCUGAAGGUGGAAAAGCCAAUACUGUUUUGGAUAAGGUCUGUGUUCCAUGAAUACAGGAAGAAUUAAGAGUAAGGAAGAAAGAAAUGCAGAAACAUCACCUGAAUACUUGCCUACCCCCUGGAAAAGUUCAAGGCUCUUGCUCAUUUUAUGAAUUUUCCCCAAGCCACUGGUUCUCAUACAUCUUCAGACAUCUGAUCAAGGAAGCAUCAGAGGAAAAUAAAAAGUACGUGGAGGUGAAGCUCUGUCCGCUUUCCACGGCGCAAACGUGGAUUUGGGGAGCCGAGAAG